rnacentral:sRNA from 1 species
GAUACCAGGGUCAAAAGGUCUUUACCCACUUGAGCUUGCUCAUAAGUGGGUAAUAGACCUUGGGACCCGCCAAAAUAUGAGCAUAAAAGUGGGACGAUAGGCCCACGAUAUGCGAAUAUUUUGUAGGAUUGUGGGAGCACGAAGUGCGAAACAAUCCGUAGGUAUC